AACGAACGCUGGCGGCAGGCUUAACACAUGCAAGUCGAGCGCCCCGCACGGGGAGCGGCAGACGGGUGAGCAACGCGUGGGAAUCUACCCAUCUCUACGGAAUAACGCAUGGAAACGUGUGCUCAUACCGUAUACGCCCUUCGGGAGAAAGAUUUAUCGGAGAUGGAGGAGUCGGCGUUGGAUUAGCUAGUUGGUGGGGUAAAGGCCUACCAAGGCGACGAUCCAUAGCUGGUCUGAGAGGAUGAUCAGCCACACUGGGACUGAGACGCGGUCCAGACUCCUACGGGAGGCAGCAGUGGGGAAUAUUGGACAAUGGGCGCAAGCCUGAUCCAGCCAUGCCGCGUGAGUGAUGAAGGCCCUAGGGUUGUAAAGCUCUUUCACCGGUGAAGAUAAUGACGGUAACCGGAGAAGAAGCCCCGGCUAACUUCGUGCCAGCCGCCGCGGUAAUAC
rnacentral:rRNA from 1 species